AUAAUAAAUAUAUGAAC
rnacentral:sRNA from 1 species